rnacentral:rRNA from 1 species
AUUGAACGCUGGCGGCAGGCCUAACACAUGCAAGUCGAGCGAGCGGCGGACGGGUGAGUAAUGCCUGGGAAUUGCCCAGUCGAGGGGGAUAACAGUUGGCAACGACUGCUAAUACCGCAUACGAUUUGAUUGCCCAGGUGCGAUUCGCUAGUUUGUGCGGUAAUGGCUCACCAAGGCGACGAUCCAUAGCUGGUCUGCGAGGAUGAUCAGCCACACUGGAACUGAGACACGGGCCAGAAGCCUACGGGAGGCAGCAGUGGGGAAUAUGGCAAAAUGGGGGAAGCCCUGAUGCAGCCAUGCGGCGUGUGUGAAGAAGUCCUUCGGGUUGGAAAGCACGUUCAGCGAGGAGGCGUUACUCGCAGAAGAAGCACCGGCUAACUCCGUGCCAGCCGCCGCGGUAAUUC